rnacentral:rRNA from 1 species
AAUGGGCGCAAGCCUGAUCCAGCAAUGCCGCGUGAGUGAAGAAGGCCUUCGGGUUGUAAAGCUCUUUCAGUCGAGAAGAAAAGAUUACUGAUAAUACCAGUAAUCCAUGACGGUAUCGACAGAAGAAGCACCGGCUAACUACGUGCCAGCAGCCGCGGUAAUACGUAGGGUGCGAGCGUUAAUCGGAAUUACUGGGCGUAAAGGGUGCGCAGGCGGUUAUGUAAGUCAGAUGUGAAAUCCCCGGGCUUAACCUGGGAACUGCGUUUGAAACUACAGGACUAGAGUGUGGCAGAGGGGGGUGGAAUUCCAUGUGUAGCAGUGAAAUGCGUAGAGAUAUGGAAGAACAUCGAUGGCGAAGGCAGCCCCCUGGGUUAACACUGACGCUCAUGCACGAAAGCGUGGGGAGCAAA